GCCACGGUGGUCUAACGGUUAGAACGCUGGCCUUGUAAUCCUGGAGUCUCGGGUUCGAUUCCCGGCGGUGCCC
rnacentral:tRNA from 1 species